rnacentral:rRNA from 1 species
AGAGUUUGAUCCUGGCUCAGGAUGAACGCUGGCGGCGUGCUUAACACAUGCAAGUCGAGCGAGAAGCCUGUGAAUGAGACUUCGGUUGAAUGAACAGGUGGAAAGCGGCGGACGGGUGAGUAACGCGUAGGCAACCUGCCCCAUACAGAGGGAUAGCUACUGGAAACGGUAAUUAAUACCUCAUAACACUUUUUUAUUGCAUGAUAGAAAGGUCAAAGAUUUAUCGGUAUGGGAUGGGCCUGCGUCUGAUUAGCUUGUUGGUGGGGUAACGGCUCACCAAGGCGACGAUCAGUAGCCGACCUGAGAGGGUAAACGGCCACAUUGGAACUGAGACACGGUCCAAACUCCUACGGGAGGCAGCAGUGGGGAAUAUUGCACAAUGGGGGAAACCCUGAUGCAGCAACGCCGCGUGAGCGAAGAAGGCCUUUGGGUCGUAAAGCUCUGUCCUAAGGGAAGAAGAAGUGACGGUACCUUAGGAGGAAGCCCCGGCUAACUACGUGCCAGCAGCCGCGGUAAUACGUAGGGGGCGAGCGUUAUCCGGAAUUAUUGGGCGUAAAGGGUACGUAGGCGGUUCAGUAAGCAUGAGGUGAAAGGCAAUAGCUUAACUAUUGUAAGCCUUGUGAACUGUUGGACUUGAGUGCAGGAGAGGAAAGCGGAAUUCCUAGUGUAGCGGUGAAAUGCGUAGAUAUUAGGAGGAACACCAGUGGCGAAGGCGGCUUUCUGGACUGUAACUGACGCUGAGGUACGAAAGCGUGGGGAGCAAACAGGAUUAGAUACCCUGGUAGUCCACGCCGUAAACGAUGAGCACUAGGUGUCGGGGGAGCGACCCUUCGGUGCCGGAGUUAACGCAUUAAGUGCUCCGCCUGGGGAGUACGCACGCAAGUGUGAAACUCAAAGGAAUUGACGGGGACCCGCACAAGCAGCGGAGCAUGUGGUUUAAUUCGAAGCAACGCGAAGAACCUUACCAGGGCUUGACAUCCCUCUGACAUACCGGUAACGCGGUACUCUCUUCGGAGCAGAGGAGACAGGUGGUGCAUGGUUGUCGUCAGCUCGUGUCGUGAGAUGUCGGAUUAAGUUCCAUAACGAGCGCAACCCCUAUCGUUAGUUGCCAGCGGGUAAUGCCGGGGACUCUAACGAAACUGCCGGCGUAAGCCGUGAGGAAGGUGGGGAUGACGUCAAAUCAGCACGGCCCUUACGUCCAGGGCUACACACGUGUUACAAUGGCCACUACAAAGGGCUGCUACCGGGCGACCGGAUGCUAAUCUCUAAAAGUGGUCUCAGUUCGGAUUGAAGUCUGCAACUCGACUUCAUGAAGCUGGAUUCGCUAGUAAUCGCGCAUCAGCCACGGCGCGGUGAAUACGUUCCCGGGCCUUGUACACACCGCCCGUCAAGCCAUGGGAGCCGGGGGUACCUAAAGUCCGUAACCGAAAGGAGCGGCCUAGGGUAAAUCUGGUGACUGGGGCUAAGUCGUAACAAGGUAGCCGU